UACGGAGGGUGCAAGCGUUAUCCGGAUUCACUGGGUUUAAAGGGUGCGUAGGAGGGCAGGUAAGUCAGUGGUGAAAUCUCCAAGCUUAACUUGGAAACUGCCGUUGAUACUAUCUGUCUUGAAUACUGUGGAGGUGAGCGGAAUAUGUCAUGUAGCGGUGAAAUGCUUAGAUAUGACAUAGAACACCAAUUGCGAAGGCAGCUCACUACACAUAUAUUGACUCUGAGGCACGAAAGCGUGGGGAUCAAACAGGAUUAGAUCCCCUGUAGUCC
rnacentral:rRNA from 1 species